rnacentral:rRNA from 1 species
UACGUAGGGCGCAAGCGUUAUCCGGAAUUAUUGGGCGUAAAGAGCUCGUAGGCGGUUUGUCGCGUCUGCCGUGAAAGUCCGGGGCUCAACUCCGGAUCUGCGGUGGGUACGGGCAGACUAGAGUGAUGUAGGGGAGACUGGAAUUCCUGGUGUAGCGGUGAAAUGCGCAGAUAUCAGGAAGAACACCCGUGGCGAAGGCGGUUCUCUGGAACGCAACUGACGCUGAGACGCGAAAGCGUGGGGAGCAAACAGG